UCCCGUUAUUCUUGACUCAAAAUAGCGAAUUUUGGACACAAAAAGUUGAUCCAAAGGCUAACCCGAAAAUCCGACGCAAUAUAAUGGGCUAUUUUUUUUUGUCACUGCCUGGCCCAAACCACAUUUUGAUCAGGCCUAUUUGUCACUCGUCAAUUGUUGGGAUGAAAGUAUUUCAAAAAAGGGUCAUACUUAUUUUCUUUUGUGACUGAUUGAGUUUGGCGGGAACUUCGAACGAGAGAGUGAGAGCAGCGCGCACAAAUGGCGAUCCUCCUCCAAAUUUCGACUUCUCAAAGGCAAACUUAAGAAGGUUAGUGAUGAAAUUGAAGCAAACAUUCAAAUUACAAGAGAAUUUCUAAUUGAUAAUCGUUAAAAUUGAAGAUAUUCAGCUCAUGAUGUUGAUUGAUUUGUGCGAUCCUCUUUCCGAAGUUCGACUUCUCAAUGGCAAGCUUGAGAAGGUUAACGAUGAAAUCGAAGCGAACAUUCAAAUUACAAGAGAAUUUCUAAUUGGAAAUCGUUAAAAUUGAAGAGGUCAGACUGCGUUGAUGAUAGAGAUCGAAUAUGAGCUCAUGAUGUCCAUUUAUUUGUUAACGAUGAAAUCGAAGCGAUUCAUUCUAAUUACAAGAGAAAAUCAAAUGUGAAAUCGUUUAAAUUUGAAGAGAUUGAGACUGCGUUGAAUGCUAGAGAAUCUGAGCUCAUGAUGUUGAUUUACUUCAUUAUUUGUGCGAUUGCCAAGGUUAACGAUGAAAUCGAAGCUAACAUUCAAAUUACAAGUGAAAAUCGGAUGCGAAAUCGUUUAGAUUUGAAGAGAUUGAGACUGCGUUGUUGGAUGCUAGAGAAUCUGAGCUCAUGAUGUUGAUUGAUUUGUGCGAUCCUCUUCCAAAUUUCGACUUCUCAAAGACAUAUAUGCUUGACAAGGUUAACGAUGAAAAUCAAAGCGAGUAUUUAAGUUACAAGAGAAAAUCGAAUUCGGAAAUCGUUGAUAUUGGAGAGACUGUGACUGCGUUGGAUCUAGAGAAUCCGAGCUAAUGAAGCGGUUUGAUUGCUGUCACAUGUUAACGAUGAAAUCGAAGCGAACAUUCAAAUUACAAGAGGAAUCGAACCAGAAAUCGUUAAAAUUGAAGAGAUUGAGACUGCAUUGGGCGCUAGAGAUCGAAUCUGAGCUCAUGAAGUUGAUUUAUCUGUCCCAGUAUGACCUAAUAAGUGGUUAUUGCUGUUGCAGGUUUCUUGGAUCUCUUCUGAAAAAUAUUAAUGAUAAAAAAUUGAAUGCCUUCCUAACCUCUGUUCGUUGAAUAGUACAUUCAGCCUAUUCAG